UUUCAACUUCAUAUUUGCAUAUUUCACUCCGAAAAACAUUGUGAGACGGACACAAAGGUUUCGAAUAUGUGAUGAGUUCCAUCAAACGCUCAUAUGCAAAUUGACUAUACUGGUAAGAUGGCUUUAUCUUUAUAGAUCUUCAGUGAUAUGUAGGGCCUAUUCAUUUUGAUGACAUUUUCAACCUUAUCAAAUUUUGAUAAAGUUGCCAAGUGGCUACAUUUAGUUUGCUGCCAAAUUUUGGUAACUAUAUAAAAAAUCCUCCCAAAAUUUUGGCAAGUUACCAAAAUUUUGACAACUAUGCCAAAAUUUGUUAAGGUUUUUUUUGGCAUCAAAGUGAACAGGCCCGUAAUUGUCUUAUGGUUUCUUCACUAUCUACCUGUGAUAUUUUUUUUCUUCCUUAUGUUCUCAUUUUGUCCCUUCAAUUUAAUGUUUUUAUUUAGUAGCCAUGAUUGCUGGAAAUAACUCAUGGGAUCUAUUGUUUGCACUCGUAAAUAAACUAGAAGUUACUCCUACUCCUCAGCCUAGAUCCUUGAACAAUAUACGGUAAUGUGACAUAUAAGUAACAUAUUAUAGAAUUGCCUGUGUUUUGAAACUUGUAGUUUCAAAGAGGCGAAUGAAAAAUUAUGCGAUUGUGAUGUUUUAUUGUACACACUUAGGUCGAUAGACAAAUGGCCUAGUGUCUAUUGUUUGUGAUGAUUGUCGCUUGUUUUGGCUUUAACUCUACCAUAUUGAUUUCUAUAUAAUUUUCUUACCAACCGACGAUUGGUGUAUUGAAAUAGUUAGGUUUAAAAUACAAAAUAAAACAAUACAGGAGCUGAAGAAAGGUGAAAUGCAUCCUGUAAAAAAUAUAUUUUUACUAAAAGAUGGUAAGUUUGUCUCUUCAUUUUAUGCACAAUAUCUUUGGCACUACCAAGAACACUGGAAAGUGGAAACUACUAGCACUACGAAGUUUAGAACACUCUGAUCAAGCUCCAAAAUGCACAUCUAAAAUGACCAUAUGGUUCCAUCAGCCUGCACUGAUCCCUUUUGUAGGUAUUGCUAUUUGCUAACCCUGAAACCUGGAGGGGCUAUUUGCUAACUGGCCACGUUUUCAUUUUUUUUUUCUUCCUUUCUCAGCUUUUUGGAAAAAGAGGGGUUUUGUAGUGGGAAGUGGUUCGAGAGGAGCUCAACCAGAGGCGUCCUUAUUCAGCUUUUGCCUAGUGGAAUUCAGAUUAAGAAUUAAGCCAAUUCACCAUCUUUGGUCUGGAGGACUAGAACAAAGCACAGACACAAGUGCACAAAUUGCAGUAGAGGUGCCAAUAAUUGGACGGAAUCGAGGACACUGUUGCCAUACUGCAUAGGUCUGCGAGGUGAUGGAUGGGAUGGGAGAUUUAACCUGAAACUGUGGAUGCUCAAAUUUAUGCACCUUUGAUGUGGCAGGAAGCAGGAUCAACAAUUUUGUG
rnacentral:lncRNA from 1 species